GAUGAACGCUGGCGGCGUGCCUAAUACAUGCAAGUCGAGCGAACAGACGAGGAGCUUGUUCCGCUGACGAUAGCGGCGGACGGGUGUGUAACACGUGGAUAACCUACCUAUAAGACUGGGAUAACUUCGGGAAACCGGAGCUAAUACCGGAGAAUAUAUUGCACCGUAUGGUUCAAUAGAGAAAGACGGUGUUGCGGUCUCGAAUAGAGGGAUCUGAGCCGCAUUGGCUAGUUGGUCAGGUAACGGCUUACCAAGGCUACGAUGCGUAGCCGACCUGAGAGGGGGAUCGGCCACACUGGAGCUGGGACACGGUCCAGACUCCUACGGGAGGCACCAGUAGGCAAUGUGCCGCAGUGGGCGAAAGCCUGACGGAGCGGCGGCGAGCGAGUGAUGAAAGUCCCCGGAUCGUAAAGCUGUCUUAUUGGGGAAGAACAAAUGUGGAAGUAGCUGUGCACGUCUUGACGGUACCGAAUCAAGAAGCCACGGCUAACUACGUG
rnacentral:rRNA from 1 species